rnacentral:tRNA from 1 species
CCUUAGCUCAGUUGGUCAGAGCUGCGGACUCAUAAUCCGUAGGUCGCUGGUUCAAGUCCAGCAGGGC